UACGAAGGAUGCGAGCGUUAUCCGGAUUUAUUGGGUUAAAGGGUGCGUAGGCGGCCUUAUAAGUCAGUGGUGAAAUCCUAUCGCUUAACGAUAGACGUGCCAUUGAUACUGUAGGGCUUGAGUACAGAUGCCGUUGGCGGAAUGUGUCAUGUAGCGGUGAAAUGCAUAGAUAUGACACAGAACACCGAUUGCGAAGGCAGCUGACGAAACUGUAACUGACGCUGAUGCAAC
rnacentral:rRNA from 1 species